rnacentral:rRNA from 1 species
AGCGCUAGUCUCGUGGGCUCGGAGAUGUGUAUAAGAGACAGGCUUAACACAUGCAAGUCGAGGGGCAGCAUAAUGGAUAGCAAUAUCUAUGGUGGCGACCGGCGCACGGGUGCGUAACGCGUAUGCAACCUACCUUUAACAGGGGGAUAACACUGAGAAAUUGGUACUAAUACCCCAUAAUAUCAUAGAAGGCAUCUUUUAUGGUUGAAAAUUCCGAUGGUUAGAGAUGGGCAUGCGUUGUAUUAGCUAGUUGGUGGGGUAACGGCUCACCAAGGCGACGAUACAUAGGGGGACUGAGAGGUUAACCCCCCACACUGGUACUGAGACACGGACCAGACUCCUACGGGAGGCAGCAGUGAGGAAUAUUGGUCAAUGGACGCAAGUCUGAACCAGCCAUGCCGCGUGCAGGAUGACGGCUCUAUGAGUUGUAAACUGCUUUUGUACGAGGGUAAACGCAGAUACGUGUAUCUGUCUGAAAGUAUCGUACGAAUAAGGAUCGGCUAACUCCGUGCCAGCAGCCGCGGUAAUACGGAGGAUCCAAGCGUUAUCCGGAUUUAUUGGGUUUAAAGGGUGCGUAGGCGGUUUGAUAAGUUAGAGGUGAAAUUUCGGGGCUCAACCCUGAACGUGCCUCUAAUACUGUUGAGCUAGAGAGUAGUUGCGGUAGGCGGAAUGUAUGGUGUAGCGGUGAAAUGCUUAGAGAUCAUACAGAACACCGAUUGCGAAGGCAGCUUACCAAACUAUAUCUGACGUUGAGGCACGAAAGCGUGGGGAGCAAACAGGAUUAGAUACCCUGGUAGUCCACGCAGUAAACGAUGAUAACUCGUUGUCGGCGAUACACAGUCGGUGACUAAGCGAAAGCGAUAAGUUAUCCACCUGGGGAGUACGUUCGCAAGAAUGAAACUCAAAGGAAUUGACGGGGGCCCGCACAAGCGGAGGAACAUGUG